UACGAACUGUGCGAACGUUAUUCGGAAUCACUGGGCUUAAAGGGUGCGUAGGCGGCCGCCUAAGUCAGGUGUGAAAUCCCCCGGCUCAACCGGGGAACAGCGCUUGAAACUAGAUGGCUGGAGUGAGGUAAGGGUAUGCGGAACUUCCAGUGGAGCGGUGAAAUGUGUAGAUAUUGGAAGGAACACCGGUGGCGAAAGCGGCAUACUGGGCCUUGUCUGACGCUGAGGCACGAAAGCUAGGGGAGUGAACGGG
rnacentral:rRNA from 1 species